UGCGCAGAAUUCUGGCCUUUAUUCUGUCUUUGAAUCUUUCAUUGGCCAAAUGACCACAUUCAUUUCUACCAUUGCUUUCUCCCAAGGAAGGACUCUUAGUCUAAAGUACCUUUAGACUCUGAAGAUCUAGCAGCUUUUUAGGACCAGAAGUUUGGGGGUGCAUUUCCCUUGCAUAUAAUUUACCAGUUUUUUUCUUUAUCCCAAAAUGGCUCCAGAAGUUCAGCCCCUUGGGGCUUAGUUGCCAGGAGCUGUCCUGUAUUCCACCACUCUACCCCAGGCCAGAACAAGGACUCAGCCGUGCUGCCCCCUGCAGGCUCAGGCCUAGGUCUGUGGGCUGCUUAGGGCACUAUUGAUGUCACUGAAGAAGGAGCACCUUGACCAGACAGAGAUUGUGAAGGUGCAAGUCUAGCCACACCUGAACCAAAAGAAAAGGAGGGAGUGCGGCAGGGCCAGGGCAGCAGAAGCCAGCACCUGCUGCUCCUCAUUAGUAACCAAGGCUUGCCAGGGCAACAGAGCAACAGGUGGAGAAAGGCUAGUGACCCUUCAGAAAGACCCAGUUGAUUGGGCAGACACAACUCAAGGUAUUUGCAAGCCAGCCAUCUACAGGCUAUAGGCUACAUCACUACAGGCUACUGAGGGAGUCUUCCUGCUUGGGUGUCUUCCCGGGUAUCACCAGAACUCCAGCAUCAUGCGAGUAGCAGGCGUAUAAAGUCAAGUGUUCCAGGAACAGGUAGUUCUCACUCUUUGUUACUCCUGACCAAGAUGGUAACAGGGAGGGUCACCAGUGAGAAUAGUCUCCAAGAGCUACACACUCGCAGAACAAUGGCACCUUGCAGGUGUCCACAUAGCCAGCUAGCAUUUCUCCUCUAUUGCCCUAGGGCCCCCCUCACCCGCACCCCUGAGCAUCUUGCUUCUGGGUCCUGUCACUAUGAAGUUCCUCUAAAGGAGAACCACCAUCUUUCUAUUCCAGGCCAGGGUGGCUUGUGCCCUUUCACCCUAAGCAGCAUCUGCGGGUUCCGAGCGCCCACCUAGCUCGCUUCCCCUCAGCGCCCCAUGGCACGGGAGUCUUCUGUUUGAAGUAGACCCACACUAGCCGGCGGCUCCCGGUUUCUCUCUUCCUUCUCUCCUCUGUGCCCUGUGCACUGCGAGUGCCCGCCGCCUCGCCCUUGCCCACACCCCGCCCACGCCCUGCCCUCUGCACCUUGCCGGCUCUCCUGUUAUUUCCCACCUCAUGCUUCUCUUUUCAGCUGAACCUUAUUCACAGUGAAAUCAGUAAUUUAGCCGGCUUUGAGGUGGAGGCCAUAAUCAAUCCUACCAAUGCUGACAUUGACCUUAAAGAUGACCUAGGUAAUUGGGGAUGGGGUUUGGCACCACCAGCUGUCAGAUGAGAAUUUGUGGAACCCAGAAUUUAGGCUCUCUGUCUGCCUAGACUCAGGCGUGGUCAAGGCAGACCUCCAGUCCUCGGUUGACAUUUGAUUGUAGACCCUGAGCAUUGACUCACUCUAGACCACUCCAAAUGGAGACGGUCGCUUACAUCUCAUCAAUGUGAUUGACCCCUUCCCCUGCAUUGCAGACACGUCACCAUCUAAAUUCUCUUCCAUAAUGAUCAGACUGACUGCUGGUUUCUUGGGGGGGGGGAUUUUAAAAUGUGUAUGUGUGGUUUUUUUUUUUUCUUUUCCUUUUCCUUUAUUUCUUUUUAAGCUGAAAAAGUCAGGUAACAACAAAACAACAGUUUCUCCAUUCACCCUUUGGUUAGAACGGCACUCCAUGUGUAUGGAGGGAGGCGAGCUAGGUUUCAGAGCACGGAGCUGGACAUCAUUGAUCAUGGACCAGCUCCUGUCCAUCAGCCUUCCCUAACCAUGUGGUGGGACACAGCCUUGCCAGAGCACACAGGCUUGCCGUAUGCCUCUGGGGGCAGGGUCUUAAACCCAGACCACGGUAUAUUCUGCAUGCCUUCUGCCCUGGACUGCAGCCGCUCUUGUCCUAACUACGACGGGGCUCCCCUCCAGGAGCCCACUCCCACCCACACAGACAGGCCACAGCAGCGUGCCAGAAACAGACCGGAGCUCAGAAGUACCCGGUUGGGAUUUGUUUCCCGCCUGCUUUAACCAGUGGCCGUCCGUAAAGCAAAAGGGCAGAGGCUAUAAAUGGCAGCAGCUCUGUCCAAAGUGU
rnacentral:lncRNA from 1 species